rnacentral:rRNA from 1 species
CUUGUCUCAAAGAUUAAGCCAUGCACGUCUGAGAAUAAAGAGUUUUCUCUGAAUCUGCGAAUGGCUCAUUAUAUCAGUUAUAGUUUAUUUGAUAGUCCUUUACUACUUGGAUAACCGUAGUAAUUCUAGAGCUAAUACAUGCAUCAACUCCCAACUGCUUGUCGGACGGGAUGUAUUUAUUAGAUAAAAAACCAAUGCGGGUUCUGCCCGGUUUUGUGUUGAAUCAUAGUAACUUUUCGAAUCGCAUGGCUUCACGCCGGCGAUAGUUCAUUCAAAUUUCUGCCCUAUCAGCUUUCGACGGUAGUGUAGUGGACUACCGUGGCGUUAACGGGUAACGGAGAAUUAGGGUUCGAUUCCGGAGAGGGAGCC